rnacentral:rRNA from 1 species
AGCAGCCGCGGUAAUUCCAGCUCCAAUAGCGUAUAUUAAAGUUGUUGCAGUUAAAAAGCUCGUAGUUGAACUUCGGGGUUUACCCAUUGGUCAGGCUUAAUUGUCUGUACUGGUGAGAUAAAUCUCUACCUUCUGAGGAACUUUCAUGCCAUUUAUUUAGUGUGAUGGGAAAUCAGGACUGUUACUUUGAAAAAUUAGAGUGUUUAAAGCAGGCUAACGUCUGAAUACAUUAGCAUGGAAUAAUGAAAUAGGACGGAUUGAUUCUAUUUCGUUGGUUUCUAGGGUCACCGUAAUGAUUAAUAGGGAUAGUUGGGGGCAUUAGUAUUCAAUUGUCAGAGGUGAAAUUCUUGGAUUUAUUGAAGACUAACUACUGCGAAAGCAUUUUGCCAAGGAUGUUUUCAUUAAUCAAGAACGAAAGUUAGGGGAUCGAAGACGAUCAGAUACCGUCGUAGUCUUAACCAUAAACUAUAGCCGACUAGGGAUCGGACGAAGUUAAUUUUAUAAUGACGCGUUC